UAAAAUGACUCUCGGCAACGGAUAUCUAGGCUCUCGCAUCGAUGAAGAACGCAACGAAAUUCGAUACUUUGUGUGAAUUGCAGAAUUCCGUGAAUCAUUGAAUUUUUGAACGCAAGUUGGGCCCGGGGUUUUUUGGCCAAGGGCAAGUUUGCCUGGGCGUC
rnacentral:rRNA from 1 species